rnacentral:misc_RNA from 1 species
UCCUUUUUAUCACGAAUGCAUCAUGGCGCUCUUCCGAUAUUGCAACACCACAAAAUGCCUGUAGUACCUGGAGGAGCUUAUCAACAAGGACCUACUUGUUUUGAUAGAAUGAAAUUAGGUUUUACAAUUGGUUUUUGUGUGGGAAUGGCUUCUGGUAUGCUCUUUGGAGGAUUUUCUGCUCUUAGAUAUGGAUUAAGAGGAAAAGAAUUGAUACACAAUGUUGGCAAAGUGAUGAUUCAAGGUGGUGGUACAUUUGGCACAUUUAUGGCUAUUGGAACAGGAAUACGAUGCUAGUAUAAAGAGAGUUACAUUAUGCAGCCUACAUAUAGAACCUUUUGAAGCUUAUCUCCGAGUUGCAACUGUAUUGAUUUGUUUUUCCUGGGAUAUUGAGACCAAAGCUUAAAUGUCUAAUUUUAUGUGUCAUAUUGAAAUGAGUCGAAGUGUAAGGCUGAACAUCGUGUACUGGAAUAUUGAAAAAGAAGUUUAUGAAAGUUACAGUGAAUGUUAUAGGAAAAUUUAAGUUUUGUUAGUUUACCGUGAACGUGAUUCACUGAAAAACUGUCGCCUGGUGCAAUGUGAAAACUCCCACCGACUCUAUUCACUUCCAUAUAACCAUAGAUUUGGCAGCCUUGUGUGAAGGCAUGUUUGAUUUUUUCCAUAGAUUUGUCAUCUUUACACUGUUUAAUAUUAGCUGGAUCUGGUGGA